rnacentral:rRNA from 1 species
CCGGUAAACGGCGGCCGUAACUAUAACGGUCCUAAGGUAGCGAAAUUCCUUGUCGGGUAAGUUCCGACCUGCACGAAUGGCGUAAUGAUGGCCAGGCUGUCUCCACCCGAGACUCAGUGAAAUUGAACUCGCUGUGAAGAUGCAGUGUACCCGCGGCAAGACGGAAAGACCCCGUGAACCUUUACUAUAGCUUGACACUGAACAUUGAGCCUUGAUGUGUAGGAUAGGUGGGAGGCUUUGAAGUGUGGACGCCAGUCUGCAUGGAGCCGACCUUGAAAUACCACCCUUUAAUGUUUGAUGUUCUAACGUUGACCCGUAAUCCGGGUUGCGGACAGUGUCUGGUGGGUAGUUUGACUGGGGCGGUCUCCUCCUAAAGAGUAACGGAGGAGCACGAAGGUUGGCUAAUCCUGGUCGGACAUCAGGAGGUUAGUGCAAUGGCAUAAGCCAGCUUGACUGCGAGCGUGACGGCGCGAGCAGGUGCGAAAGCAGGUCAUAGUGAUCCGGUGGUUCUGAAUGGAAGGGCCAUCGCUCAACGGAUAAAAGGUACUCCGGGGAUAACAGGCUGAUACCGCCCAAGAGUUCAUAUCGACGGCGGUGUUUGGCACCUCGAUGUCGGCUCAUCACAUCCUGGGGCUGAAGUAGGUCCCAAGGGUAUGGCUGUUCGCCAUUUAAAGUGGUACGCGAGCUGGGUUUAGAACGUCGUGAGACAGUUCGGUCCCUAUCUGCCGUGGGCGCUGGAGAACUGAGGGGGGCUGCUCCUAGUACGAGAGGACCGGAGUGGACGCAUCACUGGUGUUCGGGUUGUCAUGCCAAUGGCACUGCCCGGUAGCUAAAUGCGGAAGAGAUAAGUGCUGAAA